UCGAGGGGCAGCAUGGUCUUAGCUUGCUAAGGCCGAUGGCGACCGGCGCACGGGUGAGUAACACGUAUCCAACCUGCCGUCUACUCUUGGACAGCCUUCUGAAAGGAAGAUUAAUACAAGAUGGCAUCAUGAGUCCGCAUGUUCACAUGAUUAAAGGUAUUCCGGUAGACGAUGGGGAUGCGUUCCAUUAGAUAGUAGGCGGGGUAACGGCCCACCUAGUCUUCGAUGGAUAGGGGUUCUGAGAGGAAGGUCCCCCACAUUGGAACUGAGACACGGUCCAAACUCCUACGGGAGGCAGCAGUGAGGAAUAUUGGUCAAUGGGCGAGAGCCUGAACCAGCCAAGUAGCGUGAAGGAUGACUGCCCUAUGGGUUGUAAACUUCUUUUAUAAAGGAAUAAAGUCGGGUAUGGAUACCCGUUUGCAUGUACUUUAUGAAUAAGGAUCGGCUAACUCCGUGCCAGCAGCCGCGGUAAUACGGAGGAUCCGAGCGUUAUCCGGAUUUAUUGGGUUUAAAGGGAGCGUAGAUGGAUGUUUAAGUCAGUUGUGAAAGUUUGCGGCUCAACCGUAAAAUUGCAGUUGAUACUGGAUAUCUUGAGUGCAGUUGAGGCAGGCGGAAUUCGUGGUGUAGCGGUGAAAUGCUUAGAUAUCACGAAGAACUCCGAUUGCGAAGGCAGCCUGCUAAGCUGCAACUGACAUUGAGGCUCGAAAGUGUGGGGUAUCAAACAGG
rnacentral:rRNA from 1 species